AAGCCUUUUGCAUAGCCAUCGUAAGGCUGACCGACGGGUCCUCCAGAGCCUUUCGCACGAGAAGCUCAAAGGUGUACUCUACAUUCUCCAUCAGCUAAAACAAUCACACAACAGACACGUCUGAAACCCCAAUCGAUCACACUUCUCUCACCUGUCGGAGUUCCUCCGCCUCCUCAGCGUCCUGGAAGUCCUGACACAGCUGUUCCAUCAUGCCCUCGCUCAAGUCUCGGGCCUCUGUGAAGCCCAGGCUGAUGGGCCCCUGCACUUCCUCCAAGAUAGCCGGCAGGAAACACCAAAGGGACAUUUCUGGCCUCCCUGGCCUAAAGCUAUUUGGGUGUGGGGCAUCCUACAUGUACGUCAACAUCACACACCCAAGUUUCAAGUAUCAAGGGCAGGUUCUGGAGAAACCCAAUGCCAUAAUGGGAA